ACGUAAGAAUUUGCCUUUAGGAGGGGGACAACAACUGGAAACGGUUGCUAAUACCCCAUAUGCUUUCGAGUGAAAUGGAUUUCCGCCUAAAGAGAAGCUUGCGGCUGAUUAGCUUGUUGGUGAGGUAAUGGCUCACCAAGGCGACGAUCAGUAUCUGGUUUGAGAGGAUGAUCAGACACACUGGAACUGAGACACGGUCCAGACUCCUACGGGAGGCAGCAGAGGGGAAUUUUCCGCAAUGGGCGAAAGCCUGACGGAGCAAUACCGCGUGAGGGAUGACGGCCUAUGGGUUGUAAACCUCUUUUUUCAGGGAGGAAUAAAUGACGUGUACCUGAAGAAUAAGCAUCGGCUAACUCCGUGCCAGCAGCCGCGGUAAGACGGAGGAUGCAAGUGUUAUCCGGAAUCACUGGGCGUAAAGCGUCUGUAGGUGGUCAAAUAAGUCAACUGUUAAAUCUUGAGGCUCAACCUCAAAAUCGCAGUCGAAACUAUUAGACUAGAGUAUAGUAGGGGUAAAGGGAAUUUCCAGUGGAGCGGUGAAAUGCGUAGAGAUUGGAAGGAACACCGAUGGCGAAGGCACUUUACUGGGCUAUUACUAACACUCAGAGACGAAAGCUAGGGUAGCAAAUGGGAUUAGAUACCCCAGUAGUCCUAGCUGUAAACAAUGGAUACUAGAUGUUGAACAGAUCGACCUGUGCAGUAUCAAAGCUAACGCGUUAAGUAUCCCGCCUGGGAAGUAUGCUCGCAAGAGUGAAACUCAAAGGAAUUNACGG
rnacentral:rRNA from 1 species